GAUGAACGCUGGCGGCGUGCUUAACACAUGCAAGUCGAACGAGAAAUGGAGACGGAAACCUUCGGGCGGAAGGCUUCAUUUCGAGUGGCGGACGGGUGAGUAACGCGUGGGUAACCUGCCUCAUACAGGGGGAUAACAGUUGGAAACGACUGUUAAUACCGCAUAAGACUACAGCACCGCUUGGUGCGGGGGUAAAAACUCCGGUGGUAUGGGAUGGACCCGCGUUCGAUUAGCCAGUUGGCGGGGUAACGGCCCACCAAAGCGACGAUCGAUAGCCGAUCUGAGAGGAUGACCGGCCACAUUGGGACUGAGACACGGCCCAAACUCCUACGGGAGGCAGCAGUGGGGAAUAUUGCACAAUGGGGGAAACCCUGAUGCAGCGACGCCGCGUGAGUGAAGAAGUACUUCGGUAUGUAAAGCUCUAUCAGCAGGGAAGAAAAUGACGGUACCUGAGUAAGAAGCCCCGGCUAACUACGUG
rnacentral:rRNA from 1 species